CGGGGCGUAGCGCAGCCUGGUAGCGCACCAGCUUUGGGAGCUGGCUGUCAGCGGUUCAAAUCCGCUCGCCCCGACCA
rnacentral:tRNA from 1 species